rnacentral:rRNA from 1 species
UACGGAGGGUGCAAGCGUUAAUCGGAAUUACUGGGCGUAAAGCGUGCGUAGGCGGUUCGUUAAGUCUGUUGUGAAAGCCCCGGGCUCAACCUGGGAAUGGCAAUGGAUACUGGCGAGCUAGAGUGUGUCAGAGGAUGGUGGAAUUCCCGGUGUAGCGGUGAAAUGCGUAGAGAUCGGGAGGAACAUCAGUGGCGAAGGCGGCCAUCUGGGACAACACUGACGCUGAGGCACGAAAGCGUG